ACUGCAAACACCAGUGUGACUGAACAGGAACUCUGCAGUCACAGCCAAGCCCCAGGCAGCUAUGGAGGUGUUUUUCUGGUUUUCUAUGAGGAAAAACCAACCAACAAACAAAAAAAACGCAAGAAUUUGACCAGCUGUCCAGUGACCCUGUGGUGAAGCAGCUGUAUACAUCACCUCAGCCCAACUUCUCCUGGAUCUGUACAAUUGGACAUCUUUGGAAGACCUCUGUUCUUCUGCCAUACCCAGCUAAUCUGUACCUUCUGGAAAGAAAGAUAAGCAGCAGGAUUGGUCUCAAGGUAUGUUAUAAAAAAAAAAAAAGAAAAAAGUGAUGAGACAAAAUGAAAUGAGCCUCUGAAAUGUAUGAAAGGAGAGUUGAAACUUCGCAGGCCUCAGAAAGGAGGGUGGUGGGGAAACCAGCCUCUGCACCAGAG
ensembl:lncRNA